CCUACGGGAGGCAGCAGUGGGGAAUUUUGGACAAUGGGGGCAACCCUGAUCCAGCAAUGCCGCGUGAGUGAAGAAGGCCUUCGGGUUGUAAAGCUCUUUUGUCAGGGAAGAAAAGGUUGUGGCUAAUAUCCACAACUGCUGACGGUACCUGAAGAAUAAGCACCGGCUAACUACGUGCCAGCAGCCGCGGUAAUACGUAGGGUGCAAGCGUUAAUCGGAAUUACUGGGCGUAAAGCGUGCGCAGGCGGUUUCGUAAGUCUGUCGUGAAAUCCCCGGGCUUAACCUGGGAAUGGCGAUGGAGACUGCGAGGCUAGAGUUUGGCAGAGGGGGGUAGAAUUCCACGUGUAGCAGUGAAAUGCGUAGAGAUGUGGAGGAACACCGAUGGCGAAGGCAGCCCCCUGGGUCAAAACUGACGCUCAUGCACGAAAGCGUGGGGAGCAAACAGGAUUA
rnacentral:rRNA from 1 species